UACGUGAAACCGUAUAGAGGUUAAGCUCGUUGAAUCUAAAUAUCUGGCCGGCGGAAUUCAAUAUUCGACUCCGUAAAAAGAGUCGAGUGUGCACUUUCCACCGGCUACGACAUUGCAAUCCGUUAGAUUGGUCUUGGCCACUUGUGGCCGUAGACCGAACUUAUCUAUGGGUCUGUCAUCUCGCUUAUCGUGUUCGGUCCCCUAUUCAUAGGAUACUGACUGGUAAAGUUGGCGGCACUCGAUAAUGUAUAACUGACGGAUUGAAUACGGAUCAUAUGCGCAUGCACAUGCGAUUGGGCUUGCCCAAUUUAUAUGUAUCCAAUUUGCAAUGCAUUGAAGAUUUAGAUACCUUCGAGACCCGUCUUGAAACACGGACCAAGGAGUCUAGCAUAUGUGCGAGUCAUUGGGGAAUUUCUCAAGCACUUUGAGUGGUUUGCAUUGCAGCAAUGUGAUCGGCCGCACUAAGUGUGGGAAAGCUUACCUAACCGUAAAACCCAAAGGCGCAAUUAACAUGACUAUGUUUUGGGAUUACAUGGAUCUCAGCUAAAAGCAUAUAGGUUCAUCUCCAUCCCGGGGCGAUUCGUCAAGUAAUCUUCGGAUUAUUGAGUCGUACCUUGAGCACAUAUGGUAGGACCCGAAAGAUGGUGAACUAUGCCUGAUCAGGUUGAAGUC
rnacentral:rRNA from 1 species